GCCCUGGUGGCACAGUGGUUAAAUGCCUGUACUGCGGCUACAAGGUUGUGGGUUCAAUCCCAGGCAGGGGCU